AGCCACUGUUAUGCAAAGUUCAAGGGCCUCUCUCACACUUAGCUGGGGGAGGAGUGAAUACAGCCUUUCUGAAGAAAGAAAAAUUAAGUAAUAGCAAAAUCAUUAAGUGUUUAUGAUUCAUAAAUACAGUUUUUGUCAACUAAAAAAAUAAAAUAUGUAGAAGUCAAAAAAGUGUCUAUGAUUCAGAAAUGCCACCGUUAGAAGUUGCCAUAAGAGUGCACACAAAAAGGACAUAUGGGUCAAAGUGUUUGCAGCAGUGUUGUCCCAAAUAAGGACAUUUUGCAACAUUGUGGGGUGGUUAAAAUAACUAUAGAAUAUGCAUUAGAAUACAAUGAAACCAUUAAACAUAAUGUGGAAGAAUAUUGUAUAUUAUAGGGAAAUGCUCAUAAUAUAUAGUGACAAUUUAAAAAGCAGAUUACAAAACAAUAUGCCAAGACAUGAUUUCUGCCCAAGUCUGCCCUGAUGGGUGAGCUAACCAAGGUUGCUGCACUGUGAGGGCAUAGGGGCUGCCCCUCAGCCCCCACCCCAGCCACUGGGCUCCUCAGGAAAGGACACGUGAGUGUUUACUGCACAUCCUACAGAUGAGGAGCUCACAAGGACCCUGGAUGGGGGAGUCCUCUGAGGUUGCUGGAGCUGCUGCAGCCAUCUUGUCACUGCCAGGGGAGAGCUCUCUCUGAGAGCGAAGGCACAGUGGAGGAAAGCAGAACUAAGAAGAGACAGAGAAAGCGAAAGUGGGAGAGAGAGAGAGAUAUGAGGUGACAAGUGUGGGUCCUUGGAUCCUGCUUGGUGUAAAGCUAGCCUGCUCCUGGACUUUACAGAUAAUAAAUUCCUUCCUCAUCAGAUUAACCUGGGUUUUUGUGGCUUGUAACCAAAAGGGUCUGCACGGCCCACACACAGGCUCCCAGCUCAUUUCCUUUGCAAUGAGUGGUAACUGGAGGCGGGCGGUGCAUGGACCUGCCUUGCAAGGCUUCUCUGUUAGUGGUGCCUGGAGCCCACUCUCUCAGCUGGCACAGCCAGUGUGACACAUCAGUCCGGGUGUGUCCUGGACCUACCCCCUUUCUGGGUGCAAACCAGAACUGAGGAUGCCGAGGGUGGUGGGGGGGUAGUUUCCUGCCUCAGGGCUGUGCUCCUGCUACCUCUUUGCCUAAAAUUCUCCCCUCUCUGUGCUCCCAGGGCCAGCUCCUUUGUAUGCUCUGUGAUUCUUUGAACAGCGCCCCCUCUGAGAAGCCUUCCCUGACCACCUGGCUGAGGACAUCAUUCUGUCCCAGCUUCCAUUUGCUUUGGGAGUGGCCUCCUGACACUUCACUUCCGUGAGGCAGGGACCAGUUCUGUCCUGGUCACUGCUGUAUCCCCAGCUCUAGAUAAGGCCUGAGACAUCGUAGGAGUGCCAGGGAUCUUUGGUUACUGAGAAAACGAGCAGCUAGAUCAAGGUUCCCAACACCAACACGCUGGGGACAUGUUGGGAGUCAACUUAGCCCUACCAGCAGGUGGAACUAGUUUUGCUGCUCCAAAACAGAGUUCUAGCUAUGGGGACAGCCACUAGAGAGCAGAGCUAAGUCCAUGCUAUGCUGAGGGGCCACAGUCUGCCCUGAACUGUGCCUCCCAGCCUGGAGCUAGUGAGGGGGCCGAGCCUGGGAGCUGACAGAUGAGGGCUCGGCGUGGGGACUUUUGGAGGGGAGGGCAUUUUCUUGAUCUUACCAUGGGGGCAACAGCUAGAUGGGUAGGGGGGGACCCACUCAAGGACAUACUGCGGCUUCAGGCUUCGACCAGCCCAGAACGCUCGCUCCAUCUGAGGGUCUUGAUAUCAGGGUGUGGCGUCAGGAGCCGGAGCCUACGGGUUGAAAGCCAAGAGUGGGCAAUCAAAGCUGAAACCAGGCCCACGACUUAGGAGCUGGAGAGCACACAGGGCUGAACACUCGAGUUGGUGACCAGGAAACCAGGGAGCAAAGUCUCCAGGGUGCUUGGGCAAGACCCCAGAUGGUCUGCAGCAACGCACGGGCAACACGGGAUGAUCAGCGCUACGUGGUGAGAAACUUACCUCCUUUUGCAGGACAACAUUUUCCAGUCCUUCUGAGUAAAUCAAAGAGAAGUCUCAGCUUGGUGAUUGCAGGUCUCUAAUGCUUAUUUCUCUGUCUCUGUCUCUCUCUCUUUUAACAAAAGUCUACCAGCGGCCUCAGGCUCAGGGCCUGUCUCAGGUAAAAGCGGGUUAGGGUGUAAUAACAGUGAUCGGUUUCAUUGUGUUUAUUUUUGUAGCUACUUUCUAAUUAUAGCAAGUGAUUCUGAGUUUCCAUUUAGGAUAGUAAUAGGAAGUUUCUUUUUCAAGUAAAUGUGCAUAAGUAAAAGGAGACUGCUCAAAGGAAAACAGCUGGUGAUUGAUAGAACAGGCUGUGGCAUUGUUGGGCCCCAGAGGGAAGGGCUGUGUGAGCAUGCAGGAAAUUCUGGGAAGGCAGCUAAAUGCAGUUGCUGCAUGGGGGCCAGGAAGCAUUUGGAGACGUGGCUGGGCACAGCUUGGCUUUUGAGCCCAAGAGAGGCCUGCUGGGGAUGUGUUGGGAGCCAACCUACCCCUACCAGCAGGUGGAACUGGUUUUGCCACUCCAAAACAGAGUUCCAGCUAUGGGGACAGCCACUAGAGAGCAGAGCUAAGGGCAUUCUAGGCCAAGGGGUCACAGUCCACCCUGAACUGUGCCUCCCAGCCUGAAGCCAGAAAGCUCAGGGAGGCUAGCGGCCCUGCCCAGGCCUCAGCACUGACCCUGCACCCCUAGGCCCAGCUGGAUGACCCCUAAGAGCUUCCUGGAAUUUGGAUGCAGGGUUAUUCUGUGUGUGCUGCCUCUCAGAGCAUGUCACUUUGACGUGGACAUCUCGGGUCUGGUUCUGGUGCUGUCCCUGUCUCGCCACGUGACCCUGGAUAAGUCAUCUCUCCAGGCCUUGAUUUCCCCAUCUGUAAACAGAGGUGAGUGAAAUGAUCUUUAAAGGCGUGUCAGUCCAUUUUGCAUUGCUAUAAAGGAAUACCUGAGGUUGGGUAGCUUAUAAAGAAAAGAGGGUUAUUUGGCUCACAGUUGUGCAGGUUGUACAGAAGCAUGGCACCAGCAUUGCUUCUUGUGAAGCUUCAGGAAGCUUCCACUUAUGGUGGAAGGGGAAGGGGGAGUUCGUGACUUACAUGGCAAGAGAGGGAGCAAGAGCCAUGUCAGGCUCUUCUAAACAACCAGCUCUCAUGUAAACUAACAGAGUGAGAACUCAUUCAUUACCACGGGGAGGGCACCAAGCCAUCCAUGAGGGACCUGCCCCCAUGAGCCAAACAUCUCCCACCAGGCCACACCUUCAACACUGGGAGUCACAUUCAGCAUGAGAUUUGGAGGUGACCACCAUGCAUCCAAACCAUAUCAAGGACCCAUUUCGGUGAGGGGACCAGGAACAUAUCCCUUCCCCUCUCCUCCACAUCCUUUAAUGUGGAGUUCAGCAAGGAAAGUAGGGCUUGGGUCAAAUUAAAGCCUGGUCUUAAUUUCCUGGUCCAGUUAUUAGCUGUGUAACCCUGGGCAAGUCACUUAACCCCCUCAGGUUACAAUGUUACAAAUGAUCACAUUUUCCUCAACUGAAAAAUGGGAUAGGAACAUGUCCCAAGCAGAGCUGGAGUGACGGUGCUAUCAAUGGCCCGGCAGUGCCUGGUCACACAGUAGGCCUGGGGAGCCCUGACUUUUACCGCACAGGGAGCUGCUUGCAGAGCUUGUUUUCAAUUGUGGGCUUGGCAGGGAACUGCCGGCAUCCCAGGGGACAGGGUCUCAUGAGGAUGCCUAAUCCCAGCUCAAAGUGGAGACCCCAGGACUCCAUCACAGCCAGUGGGGGGGAGUGGCUGCUGCAGCAGGGAGGGCUUCAUUGGAAUGAACCCCUUUAAGCUCCAGUCCAAAUGCCCAGAGUGGUUUUGCAGGUAUGGUUGUGAGGCUGGCAUGGUAGUCCCAUCUGCAGUCCCCUGGGAUGAGGCACCUGUAUGGUAGAGGGCCCGGGUGGAGAGAAGAGAAGGAUGGGGAUGAACCCAGGACCACAGAUGGCCCAGUUCCAUGGAUGAUUUUCAUUGAGGUGCCUUCAAGUCAGUUCAACACUGGGCUUCUCAACCUUUGAGGUAUGCAGGUAAGAGUCACCUGCGGCAGUGGGGGAUGCUCUUGUUAAAGUGCAGACUCCGAUUAAGCAGGUCUAGGGUGGGGCCUGAAAUUCUGUGUUCCUAACAAGGCUCCAUCCUGGGUAUGGAGGUCAGGUACCCCCUCACCUCUCCUGUGGACCCAGCUUUUGAGGGGUCAGGAGAAGAAUGUUCAGUCCCAGCUGCCACCACUCUAAAGUCCCCUAGAAACAAGGACUAAUACAGGUGGCGUGGGAGAGGGCCCAGGCAAACAGGGAGGUGGGGUACCCCGGUGGGGCUGCAGUGGGCCCUGCGGAAAGCUUGCUGGAGGUGGGGGCCUAAGGAAUUCAAGGACUUGUUCCAGGAACCCAAGGAACGAGUGGGCUCUAACUGCUGCAGCAUAUGGGAGAUGCCAGGAGGAGCUGGCUGUGGCAGGCCAUCCCAGUCCAUCAGACAACUUGUAGUGGAUGAAGAUGCAGUGUCCAUGGCCAGAAGAAACUCCCGUGGAUGCUCAGGCCAAGGCUGCCAGAAGCACGAGGAGGGGCAGCAUUGAGUGUCAUCGGGAAAAGGCAAAGUGAUGGUCCUGAAGCUGCCCCAUGUGGCCAGUCCCUUUUUGGGAAGCCUGAAUAAAUCCAUUUCCUGUGCACUGUGUGGGAAGCCAACCCCUCUUCAGAGCACCUCUGAACUCAACAGGAUCCUACACUUCUUAUAGGCCUGGCUUGAUGCUGACAUCCUUCAGCCCCAGGGAAGACCUAAAGAUCUCCAGGUCUUGAGGCACCUGGAACACCUCCACCUGAGACCACUUUAACAUGAUUUCUCUGCUUGAGGGAUUUUGGACCAUGCUGUGUGUAUUCAGCCCUAAAACAUGGGCGAGUGCCCGCUUGCAGUUCAAAUUCUCAGAGGAAGUUCCCUGUACUCCACCCAGUGCCAAGUUUAGUUUGUGCAAAUUUCCUUAAUGUCCCCUCCUGUACAACAGGCUUAUUUGGUGUUAACCCUCAUAUCGGGGGUCUAACUCUUUGCUUUUCCAGCUUUUGUGCUGGAAUAUCCCAUUAAACUGUCCAUGUUGGGUAUUUUUUCUUUGUUAGUAAACAUUUGUUGCAUAUUGU
rnacentral:lncRNA from 10 species